GAUGAACGCUGGCGGCGUGCCUAAUACAUGCAAGUCGUGCGAACAGACGAGGAGCUUGCUCCUCUGACGUUAGCGGCGGACGGGUGAGUAACACGUGGAUAACCUACCUAUAAGACUGGGAUAACUUCGGGAAACCGGAGCUAAUACCGGAUAAUAUAUUGAACCGCAUGGUUCAAUAGUGAAAGACGGUUUUGCUGUCACUUAUAGAUGGAUCCGCGCCGCAUUAGCCAGUUGGUAAGGUAACGGCUUACCAAGGCGACGAUGCGUAGCCGACCUGAGAGGGUGAUCGGCCACACUGGAACUGAGACACGGUCCAGACUCCUACGGGAGGCAGCAGUAGGGAAUCUUCCGCAAUGGGCGAAAGCCUGACGGAGCAACGCCGCGUGAGUGAUGAAGGUCUUCGGAUCGUAAAACUCUGUUAUUAGGGAAGAACAAAUGUGUAAGUAACUAUGCACGUCUUGACGGUACCUAAUCAGAAAGCCACGGCUAACUACGUG
rnacentral:rRNA from 1 species